rfam:Alteromonas naphthalenivorans strain SN2, complete genome.
UGUUUCCUGGAAUGUUCGCCAGUUCACUCUUGUCCCUGGCCGAUGCUAUUAAACUAGGAAGUUGAAACCAUGGCUACUGUGCAAGCUCGGCUCGUAUCGAGAAGCCUACGGCCAUAGUGAUGCUUCCGCCCUGAACUUUCGGUUCACGGGCGAACGAUGAACAGCGGCAUUUCGGGAGACGC